AUCAGGAGUUCUUCCAUUGGAACUGAGGUGACUAAAAGUACUGCAGUCACUCACAAUCAACCAUGGUACACUCAUCUAUGGUCUCCAUUUGUGAAUCUCCUCUGUGUGUUAGAUGACAAUAGAAUUUAAAACACCCGGAAAAAUAUUCUGUAUCACCUUGAUGAGUCGUCAAAUCAGUUUUCUAUCUUAAAAGAAGCUCUUAACCACGCCAGACUUCAGCAGUCAAACCAAACUCUAUCUACAGUUCUGUCUUUUGUGAUGAACAGCAUUAGAUCUGCUCAGGUUUAUUUAAAAGCAGGUUUGGAUGUGUUUGAGAAUAUUCAAAAUACAAAAAAAAACAAUUUUUAGAAAUGUGCAAUGGUUAAUGAGAAUCAUUUUCCUUUUCAAAGAUAUAUUCCUGAAAAAUGGUAUCUAAAUUUGCCAAAGGACCCAUUUACUUACAACAGGAAUUGAAUAUGGUGCCCAUUUCAAAUGAUCAAAAUACCAUAUGAUGGUGAUAUUCACUGAUAUGUGGCAGUUAUUAUUAACAACCCAACUGAGUCAGACUCAGUAUUUGCAGUCGUGGGUUAAUGAAAUAAUGGUAGCAGAUAAUAUUAAUGUUGAUACCAGGUCAUAGAAUGACUCCAUAUUUCCGGCCUUCAUAGGCUGUUCCAGGUUCCAGGUUGGAAAGUUUUGUAAAAGGAGAUCUACGUUACUAGAAAUAAUUCAUUCAAUCCAUUUUAAAAAAUAACCAUUGGAACUAAUGAAUGUUGUAUAAGCGCUUAAUUAUUUUCAUUAUAAGAUACCUCAAAAUGGGCAAUUAAUGAAGUCUUGUGAGUAUUUUAUUUGGUUAUAGAAUCAUAAUGUGCCUUCCAGAUUGAGGUGUUUGUUAUCAUGUGUAUGAAGAGUAUUAUUCAUUGCAACCUGUGGAGUAACGCCAUAAAGUGGCACAAAUUUGUAAAGCCAAUGCCUUGCAUAAGACAAAGAGACCACUUAUUUUUAACUCAACAAAUACAACAGGCAAAAAUCUAUAUUUUUUCAGAUUAAUCUGCAAAAGCACAUUAUUGUGAUUGUAUCUGCUGUAGCUGAACCAUUAUAUUUUGACAAUCGAAUGCAUAUUGAGAAAUUGAAUAUUCAGUACCUAUUUAAUUUUUUAAUAUCAGAAAGUACAUGUUCAACCAAGAUAGGAAACAAUAAGAAGAUGUUCUUUAUUCAAUAAUGCAGCAGAUGGAUGCCCAGUUUUCAGAGUAUUUCUGUAACACUUCAGUAUUUAGUUGUGUUCAAAAAUGUUUCAAAGCUUUAGUGUUGUUUUCCAUUUGUUAAGUCAAAGUUGAAGUACAUUCAUUUCCUAUUGUGAAUACAUUGGAAGGUCACAAAAUUUGCUUCCUUAGUUCCAUCUGAGAACCCAUAUAAGUUGGAAACGCAACCCUACCAAUCUCAUUUCCUUCAAAACUAUGAAAAAUAUCUGCGAACCACCUCUUACACAUGUGCAAAUAAUUUUUCAUAUCCUCAUUUAAAAAAAAUCUCAACAGGGCAACAUUGUGAAAUAUGAUUUUGCAUUUAUCAUUAUUGCUGUUAAUAUGGGUGUAAACAGAGAUGUUGAUAGCUACUGGUCUGAAAUUAUGAUUCUGUUAAUCCUUACUGAUCACUUAAGGAAGUUAUGCACCUUAUGUACAUAAUGAAAGAAUAAGUAAUCAAAUGAUGAUGUAUAUAUUUUAGAAAAUUACUAAGCAAUAAGUUCAAAAGGUAUAUUUUUCCUCAAAGCCACAUUUUACAUAUUCAUAACUGUUUCCAAACAAAUACUUCUAAGAAUGAAAUGAUUAUUUAAUGUUCUCAAAAUCUCACAUUAUUUCUAGGUGACCAUCUUCUUCCCAUAAGCAUCCUGAUUGUAGUUGCAAUCUUUGAGGCCAUUGUCCUCAUUUUAUGUUAGAAAAUGUGAUGUAAAGACAAUUUAAACAACAGAUUUAAUACUGUGAUGAGAUAAUAUCAAAUACAAAAGAAAGACUGCAAAAAGAAUGUUAUAGAGGUUAAAUAUGUGUGAGAAAAAAUAUACCAGAGGCAAAAAUACAGUACAUCUCUAUAACAUUGCAAAUAAAGAACCUGAUAAAGUUA